CGGGGCUGGGAUGGGGGUGGUGUUUGGAGAGGUAGGCAGCCGUGUGUGGUGGAGGAAGCCGGGGUGGCUCCGGUGGCCCUCGGGGUGCUGUCCCUUGCGCCUUCGGGGAAGAGGGGUCCCUGGCGGGGUCUGUAUCUGCUGAGGUGUUCGGCCUGUGCCUCGGAUGAAGUAUAGAGAGCGGUUUGAAGAGCAAGGCUGAGCUCUUGGCCUGGCCUUGGUGAGGGAGGCCCUCAGCAGGGAGCAGGCUGGGAAGUGGCCUUGUCAGACACCAGGCGACAGCCUGUGUUUGCUGAUUUGGGGCUCUUUUUAAGGGUUGUGGCUUCUGUCUGAUAGCGACGCUAAUAGCGCUUGGCUGUCAUAGAUACGUUGCUUAGUGUGACCAGCAGGUGGAGUUUUGCUCCCGCCUAAAGGCAGUUGUCCUCAGUAUGACCAUGGAGACAUAAAUCAACCUUGAAAAAGCUGAGAGUGGAUGAGGUGGUGUAAGACCUCUCAGCAUGGUAUGGGAGCAGUCAAGCUAACUUGCUUCCCAGUUUUUCACCUGUGCUUGCUGUCUAGUGUUGGCAUGGGUUAGCCAGCUGUCUAGGUGCUGUCUGAGUUCAGCAUGCCUUCUGACUGGUGUGUAGGAGGUAGGCUAGAUUUUGAGCAGCGAGUUGUAGACUUUCUAUACUGAAUAUCAUCCCUGCUUGUGCUUGUCUUUGUGCUGGGGAAUGGGAAAUGAGCCAUUCACCAAAUGAGAGACUAAUUAAAUCUCACUUAGACUUAAGGAGACUGAAGUUAAAUAACAUGUGGAAGAUCUCUGGUCAAAACUGGAAAGGAAGAUAUUCAAAGUAUUGCAUGGUUUGUGAAAUAACACCAUUUCUAGUUACAGCUGAUUCCUGUUAAAUAAAGUAUUACUUCAAGAAGAUACUCCAUUAAAAGAGUUGUAAAGAGUUUUGCAGGCUCGCUGGAAGUCUUGGCUAAAGUCCGGUAGUAGUGGUGUAGCUCAUGAAAAAAGGGGGUUACAAGUUUUUAUUUUAUACUUUGGCUCCUCCUGGAGGUAAGUAAAAUGCAUUUGCUCAGGAUAUUUCCUCAGUAACUACACAGCUAUAGUAGUCUGUUAGCCCCAGGAUACACUUGAAAGGUAGAGGAAGGAUAUCAUGAAAUGUUUUGUGAUGCAGUUACUUAACCUGAACCUUUCAUCCUCUCAAGAUUUGUUGAUGUUACAGCAGUGUGUGCCAUUCUUCUCUCUCUUUAAAUACAGCUCCCUCCAGUUAAAGAAUUUGAACCAGUUGCUUGCCUUCCUGUAAAAUGUGCAGUGUCCUGGGUCAGGAGGUGCUUCUCCCCACCCCCAGCUUGUCCAGUUUUGCAUGUUAAUCACUGAAGAAAAGGAGUGGAGAGAGUGUAAUGCUCUGUUGCUGCUAUAACUUUCAGUAAUAGUUUCGUAUGUCUGAAAAAUUCUGGAUUACAGGUACAGCCCCUUCUUUUCUACUUCUGUUUCUUUACACAGAUACCUUUAGAUUAGGUGUGCUGUAGGUGGGGAAAAAAGGGGCAGUGACGUGAUGCCUUCUGUCACAACAGUUGCCCACUGUAGACUUUUAAGUCUGUGCUCAUCUGUGCAGCUGAUGCCAAGCAACAAUGGUAAGUAUUGCAGUGGAAUAAUGGGGCAGCUUGGUUCUCUUUUCUAUAACUGGCAGAAAACAUGGAUGCGAAAUCUUCCAUCUGAGAUGAUCUGCUGACCUAAUGAUGUUAUACUUUGUUUUUUAAACUGGUUAGAAGCAAUUGGUUUCACCGGCACCGAUUCUCUCUUCCUCCCUUUCCCCAUUGUGUCCUCUGGGGAGGAGAUAAGGAUGCAUCCUGCUUUACAGAUAACUUUAUUUCAUUGUUGAUACCAUGUUUAUCUGAACAUGUAGAUGCCACAGAUGUCUCAGCUAAGAGUUGCUGUAUCAUACUGAAAUGUAGAAAAGUUACAGAAAAAAGGAAAUACGGAAACAAGGCAAAUGAAUGCCUGAUGCAAGAGACAAGUAAACUAGUUCUCUGUGUGUGUAGUUCACUUUGUCAUUUUAGAGUGUGUCUCAUAUAUCAGUGUAUGAUCACAACUUGUCAGAAAUGUUAAUGGUGAAACCUGUGUUAUAUGUCUCAGGCUUGGAUACUCAGUUCACCUGAAAGCACUAAUGUCCAAGCUUCUUCUGACCUAACAGGUCUUAACUGCAAGAUCCACAAGAAGCUUACAGUCCUGUUGCAGAGAUAAGUUGUCUCAGCAUUUCAUAUGAGAAGACAUAAGCUGAUGAUAGAUUUGAAAGCCUGCCUUUGGUGUUUCUUAAAUACACGGUUAAACUCUGUUUCAGUACUGUUUAAUGAAAAGUUAUUCCAGUGUCUGUAUGUCCUGAGCCUGUGAUGCUUAGAUUUUGUACUGGGCUACUAUGCUGAUACCCUACACUGCAGAAACUACGGGUUGUCUUUUUCCUAAAGUGAUUUUGGUCACUGUGGACUCAGGUAAGCAACCAUCCAGUGUCCUGAGGACCAGAAGAAGCACUUGGAGGACCCUGCAGGAUGGAUGUAGAAGAUAAGGAUAAGUAUGAAUGUGUGAUGCCUUUGUUCAAAGAAGAAAUUGCUUAAUCGAAGUCCAUAUGUAGUAACCUGGCUUCAUAUCUCGGCUUUUAUUCUGACAAGUUCUUGCUUUUAAUGAGAACUUCAAGGAUUGGGAUGCUCUAAAUUGAGCCUGCACUGGAUAGCACACCAAAACCAACUCUACAGCCUGCAUGAGAAAUACACGGAUUUAUGAGACUAAGUAUGCAAAUAUGCUAUAACAUAACUUUUAAGGUGUCUUACUCUGGUGUCAUGGUGUCAACAUCCAUGUCAGUGCAGCAGAGAGGACUGGCAGGAUGUUGGGGUUGUCUCAGUUCUUGCAAAUCGUCAGGCCUACAUAAUUCCUAGUAUGCAAAUUAGCCAGAUGAAAGGAUUUUCAUACGCGCUCAAGCAGGGACUGCAGUAUGGUUUGUAAGGGUGGUUGAUAGGAUCUAUGCUAGUCUUGGCACAUAAUUUUUGUUUUACAAUCCCCUUUUCUUAAUUAUCCCAGCUGUAAAGUUUAGUUGUCCACAGUCCCCUUGGAGGAAGGAGGAGAGUUUAAGUGUCACUGACCAACUGUUUGCUUCAAAGCCAAUGGGGGAAGGGUGUAAACUCUUUAACAUCAAAGUUAUUGCUCAGAUUCUGGAGGCUGAUGAAGCUGCUGUGAAAGGUUUUUUUGUUUGUCUUCCAUGGACGUAACAACUAUUUCCCAAAGAGUCUGGAACUGCAAUGUGAAAGGUAAGAGAGUUAAUUGAGCUGAAUAUAAUAGGUAAGUACUUCUAUAUUGUGUUACAGUUUCCUAGUAUCUUACUGAUAACUACAGAAAAAUACAUUGUGUUGUCUUUUUUGUUCUCAAACAGGAAGAGCUUGAAGAAACAGCUAAGAGUGGAAGGCUUCUGUUCCUUAUUAAGUGUUCUCGAUGAAAUUGUGGGAAGUACAAGAAGAGUGCUCUAAGAGCAGUGGACAACCUCUUCAGGCAGCACAGACAUGCUCUUCAACUGAGACAUGGCAGCAGUUCAAUGGCAGUUACACAACACAAAAGGGUGUGGAGGUUACUGCAAGUCCCAGGGUUCAUAAGAACUGGUAUCUGAAAAAACUCACUUUAGAGAGAAAAAAAAAUUGGUUCCUUCCACAACUUUUAACUCUCUUGAAUUUUAAGUGACAACUCAUCUGAUACUGAAACAGGAAAUUACUUUUACUGUAGGUGCUGGAGAAGGGCAUCAGAAUAGUGGACUUAAAAGUGCUAGUCAGGGCACUGUCAUGGGCUUUGGAAGAACUGCAGGUAGUUUGAGUACAAGAGACUCCAGUUGUGGGAAGCUCCUUUUUGAGAAGGCACCCUAGCAGAGGGGGAAACCUGCUCAACAGAGGAGACUCAAAAGUUGUGUAUGUUCUGCAGCUGUUUCUUGGAUACAUACAGCUAUCUCAAGGUGGGAUGGCCUAAGAUGACCACUGACGAGAGCAUAUAUGCAACUAUCCAAAACCACCUAAGCAGCUUCAGUUUUUGUUGAAUUAAGUAUUUCCUGAUUUAAAAAUAAUAGUUUUGUUUGGUUCACCUAACUCACGCAGAGCUGUUUGGCUGAUUGCAGCACUUCUCUGAGGAUAAGAAACCUUCCCCACCCAUGGGUUGCUGGAGACUGGCACACAAACAUGACUCAGAUGGGCUCCAGGGCUGAGGGUAAAUCCUUUGGUUGCCCGUGUUCCAGUUGUACACACCAGGUGCACCUAAGCAUUUCCAUGUUGAGCAAGAGAACACGGGCUGUGCUGUUUAAGGUGAGCUUUGUGUGCACAGCCCUCUUCAGCACAGAAGUAAAACCCUGUAUUGCAUAAAGCAGGUAGGGGUAUCAUGUGGUUACACUCUGCACCUCGUUCGCCGCUAAUCCUGGAAAGGUCCCUUUUUGUUGUGUAAGUGGUAAAACUGAGUCAGUAACAUACUGCUCAGCCAAUGUGCACAUCUGUUGCAGACAAGCAGUCUGUGAGCUGACAUCCUCAAGCAUGGUACUAGCUCUUAAAAAAAAAAAAAACAAAAAACAGGGAAUUUGUUGGAAGGGUCAACAUAAACUACUGAAAUUAACAGCCCGCUAAAAAUAUCUUUGUGGCUAUAAUAUGUUUUGACAAAUGAUUAAUGGUGUGACAAAGGCAAUGUGAACAUUCCGUUAUGGCAGACUUCCAACACUUGUCUUGUUUUCGUAAAGUUUGUAGGGGAAAAGAGUUGGAGAAUGUGCAAGCCAUAGCCAGAGGUAAAAAAUUAAUUUUAACUGGAAUUUUGUGAAAUUGUGCACCAUUAUUUUCUAAGGAAGUCCUGCAACUAAAUUGAUCAUGCUAGUGUUCUCAGGUUCUCCAUCUAUUUGGAUGCAGUGGUGCAAAAUAUAUGUUGCUUCCUAUAUGAUUCAGCUUAAAAUAGAAGUUUUGGCAGUGUGAGUACCUAAACGACAGUAUUGCACACAAACCACUUCCUUUUGGGUAAGUAAUGCUGCACUGUGGAAAAAGCACAACUCCAGUGAGAGCGUCAUUUGAUAGUAUCUCCUGUGCUGGAAUUUCUUGGAUUUUCUCUCUUCCUUGCCUUGGACUCUGUUGUUUACCCACACUUUUAGCUUUUCUGUACAUUAUUGCUCUUACCUACCACCCUAUUAUUUGUUUGUUUUUUGCUGUUUCUCUGCAAAUACCUCUUCUUGGAAAACUGGGAACAACUAUCUUAGGUUCCUGGCCAAGUUUCCACUCACAUGGUUUCACUUGCUCAGUUCUGUCAUGCAGUAUCCUAAGGAUAUAAUUUAGUGGACUGCUGGUAAGCAGCUAACCUUUAUGUCUUGGCCCCAGUCCACAUAGGUCAGGUUUACACAAGCCUGCUUCCUCAGGAUGAAUUCAGUGGCUACUCUUACAGCCUCUGGUUUACUGUUGCACGACUUUAUGAAAAAAACAGCGUUACACUGCUCUUGCAGACUUAAGAAAGGACAUGCUAGGAUUGAUCGCUUUACCUACUGAUUUGCACGACCCAGAAUCUUACAAGUCUUUUCUGCGCACAGAAGUGCUCAAGGUGAGAAAGAUACUUUUUUCAUGUCUUAAUAGGUCUGACGCUGCAAUAUAGGAGAGGCUUUUCAAAACAACAUAGAGGUGAGAAGAUGGCUAUUUAUCUUGCUCAAAGUAGAGUCUUUUCCUCAGGUUCUGGAUUCAUGCACGUAAGAGUUUUGUAUGCAGUAGAACCUUUUUGGGCAUGCAUUCCUGGGAGGUGUAUUACCUGAGCUGCCUGCUUUAAGCUGUCAGAAAAUACAGUUGCAUGAUGCAGCAGCUGUGGUGACAUUGGAGUUUGGCAUUAUAUUUCGCCUCUUGGGCUUCCUGUGCCACAGUACACCAUUCUCUUUCAUGCCAACACAACUAUCUGGCGCAGCAUGGUGAGCUAUCGGUGUCUUAAUCGGGGUGUUAGCGGACACUCCCUGCCCUAUGUAUGCUUUUUUUAUGGCUCCAGGUGGAAGCAGAGGAGGUUUGCAGUUGUGCGGCUUUCUAAAACCUGGAUCAGGUUAAUGAGCUGGUUUAGAGCAUUUGCAAUAUGGCCAGGUGCACAGCAGAAGUCAGAAAUUCUUGGUCUUGUUGCUGAAGCCUCGGUCUCUAAAUCGUGCAUCUAAGGCUGCAGUUUAUUUUGUGGGGGAGGAGCAGCAGCAGCAGGGUGUCCCUUGUGCACAUUGAUGCUUUUGUUAACCAUGUUUUUCCACUUUUGUUCUCAGGACCCAGCCAAAUGUUUUGCUGCGUGUAGCUGCCUGACCAGGCAGCAGCAGUUUGAGAAACCCUGAUGUCUGUAAGCAGCACUGGUGAUUGCUAGGUGUGGUCCAGACAAAUCCCAGCGGGAGAAGCAAGCUGGAAUAAAAUGUGGAGGAGUUUUCAGUUAGGGGGGGUUUCACUGUCACAGAGAGUACUGAUACAUUCUCCUAUGAUGGAACUAAUUACAGUUAGGGCAUUAUAUGUUACCCCUGCACUCACAGCCAAAUAUCCCUUUUUAUAUUUAAUGGCAGAGUAGAUCAAAAAAAAAAAAAAAAAAAAAAAAGGGUACUAAAAUGUUUCACAUAUGUUAGAUUAAAAGCCCAAUCUCAGUUUUCCACGUCAGUGUUUUUGCAGUGCUCCUGAUAUGAGUGAAGUCAGCUUUGCUACCAUGAACUCUUCACAAUGCAAAUACGAUUAGCAGCCUCCAUUCUGAUAGUGGUGAAGUCUUCGAUGAGGAUGAUGUGGUGGCAGCAGUUUCAUAGUGACAUGUGCAGUGGCUUGCUCUGCUUUAGCAAAUGUCAGCUAAAAUAGUAAUUGCAUCCCCUAAGAGAUUACUGCUGUUUACUUCUCAUUUGUUUUUCCAGAAAGGUUGAGGGAGAUGCAGUCCUCAGGUGAACUGGCAGGAGGGUGUUGCACAGCGAAGUGGGUCCUACAUCUCACCAGGGAUGAAGGGCAGUCAUGAUUUACUAGCUCCUAUCAUGAGAUCCAUUUAGGUGUCUGCAAGUUCCUGACCACUAAAAGCUCCCUCAUCUCCAGGGUAGAUUGUGACUGGAGCAACCGCUGUCCCAGUGCUACCUCCUGGAAAACAAAAGGUUAUUUGGCUGUGGAUUACCCUUGUCAUGAGUACUGAAUCAUGUGACAUGCUUGGCCACGGAAGCAGGUAUGUGUGGGGUCUCUCACAAGUUUCUGUCAACACUUAAGUGUUGUGGCUCUCCAGAAUGGAUGACAUUGCUGCCAUUCAUUCUGAGUGGCAUUGCAGCCUCAUUCACAUGGGUUUGACAGUAUCUCAAAUAUCUUAGCCUUUUGCUAUAGUCAGUUCUCUGUUAUCUGAAGGUAAAUAUAGGUACGAGUCAUGACAGCCAAGAUCCUGGGUUUGGAAUACGCCUGCCUCUCUAGCAUUCAGUCAUGCUCUCGGGUGUGGGUGGACCUGCUUCCUGGGUACAGCUGACUUAGCAGUGUUACUCUUCCGAAAGGAAACAUGCACCCUGAACUUUCGCUGUGCUAUGGUAGUACUUCAUGUGCACAACCUCCAGGUGACGUUCACCUCUGGGAUGCAAAGGGAUGGCUACCCCAGUCUCCCUGAAUUUACUACUGGGCAGUGACACAGCGGGGCAUGCAAGGCAUUACUUUGCUCAUGUCCACUAUCCACAAAUGGCAUUUUGUUUUGGUCACCAUUGUUUUUUUCUAGCUAAUACAGGUGUUAAGAGAGGUUUUGCCAACACACGGGCUUUCCAAGCUUUGUUUUCUUUCCUUUUCUGUAGUGUCUCCUUGUCACCCAUACCUAGUACAUCACACUCAGUGUUCAAUCUGUAGUUUAUGCCCUGAUGUGUGUGAGAAACCCUAGGAUAAUUCCCUGUUUGUUCAGCUGUGUGGAGCUGGUAAUUCUGUUGACUGCAAAAUUCCAACUAUUGCAUCCCAUCAUUAUAAAGCAGAAAAAAAAGCUUGGAGGAAAGAGCUCCCUCCUUUCCUUCUUACUUAUUGGGUUGUCCAGAACAGCCCCGAAGCUGGUGCAGGGGUCUGAUCAGAUGCUGCCCUCCAUCCCUCCCCUGCCCUGGGUGGUGGAACAGCAGCACUGUAUGGUGGAGGUGGUGAGGGGCCAUCAGUCUCAAGAGGUGCUGUCUUCUGCCUUUGUCCCUUUCUGUCCUCAUAGCUUCUGUGCCCCCUUCCUGAAGCUCAUUCCCAUUCUUGUUUGAAAACAGCUGCUCUAAUACGGCCCUUUAGCACAAGCAGUCUUUAGAUACAGAAGGUCUGGAUGUGUCUUGGUGUGCCAUCAGAUGAACUUUUUUCAUGUCCUUUAUGUAGUGUGUAACAAAGGGGAUGUUGUGUACAAGGUGCAAGAAAUCUGUGGAGUCUUGAGUGUGACCUCUGCAAAAUUUCACAAAGCACCUUAUGUGUCUUGGUCUUCUCUUUAGUGGUACCAGGAUCAAAUAUUCUUUCAUGGCCCUAUCAUGGUAAUCUUGCAUUAGGGUUCUGAAAUCCUCUGCUAAGUAAGAAGACCCCAAUGAGUUCACAGUGUGAAAGUGGCUCUACACUUUUUCCAAGGGUCCUGCAGAGCAGAUAUUGAUGGGAAGAACAUGUUUGACCUGUUUCCAUUUUUUUAGCAGAUGUUUCAGCCCCAGAGAAUCCCUACAUGUUCCAUGUAACUUAAUUACAUUUUCCAUUUUCUACAAAUAUGAACAUUUUUAUGCAAAGGCAUUUAAGUGGCAUUUCUGUCAUGUUUUACAUUACAGCUGCAUGUAUCUGCAUUAGAUAAGUCAGGAAUAUAUGAAUAACAAAUGUUAAAAUUGGGUCAUAAAUCGCAAGAGUUACUGAGCUCAAACUUCAGAAGACCUAGAUCCUCUCCUAGUACAUUCAUUGGGCAAAUAAUUUAUACCUCGGGACCAUGUGUUGCACUGGAAGACAUCUUUUAGUAUCUGCUGCUAAUCCAGCAUCUCUUAUCUCUGGGACAAAAUAUUUCCUCUAGUUCCCACUGAAUCUUGGGAGAGGGGGAGGGGGAAGAGAUCUAGUAGCACUUAAAAGGUAGAUGAGAAGUGCUGUUCAUGUGCUGAGUUUCAUAUUUUUAACCCUUGCAUUUUAAAAACUUAAAGUAGCACCUUCCAUUUCCUAAACUGAUGACACCUGAGGCUAAAUAGAUCUCUACAGCCAGUUGCCUCAAAUACAUCAAAGACAGAAAUGCUGUUUUACAGGUACCCAGUGAAGAUGCAGAACCAUGGUAUUGCUGGGAACCAACCAGUUGCGACAAUACAAUAGUGCCAAAUUUUGUCAGCAGGCUGAGCAAGUUCAUCCCUUCUUACAAUAUUAUGCCUACAGUGUUCUGUCUAAAAACUAUUAUCCCUUAGAAAACUAGUUGACAACAUUUUAAAGAGGAGAAUCAAAUACUUCACAGUACCUCUGUAGGGUUCUCCCCAUUUUAAUGCACUAAUAAGUGUGGCCAACUACCACUAUCCCAAAAAAAGAUUUUAUUGGAAGCCAUCUGUAGAUAAGAUGUAACUUCUUUAAAUAGUUUUAACUACUCAUCUGUUUCCAUAGUCUGUGGCAUCAUUGGAUAUGUUCACGUUUCUAAGUCUUAAGGUGUAAAGUGGUCUUGUGUUGCUUCUUUAGAAAACAGUAAAAAUCAUAAAGGAAGCCCUGAUUUUUCAGAACAUGAACAUUAAAUUUUAUUUUAAACAAAAUGAAAGCAUGCAUGUGCUUAUACAGUCAACGUUCAGGCAGGGUUUGUGGUUUACUAGCCCAUCUGUUUUGCCUACAAAGCAGCGAAGAGAACAUGGAUCGUGUUAGCAGUCAAAUCUUUCCCUUUGUGUCUUCUCCCCUAUCACAGUCUCCUCUGGAUGCAGCUGGGCUGGAUGCAGCUGCAAGGGGAGUGAGGGAAUGGCAGUUAACUGCAGACCCACUGGCACCCUGUACUGCUAACGGGCAGAGAGGGGGUCUGGGUCCCUCCAGCUCCCCAUCACUCGAUCACACCUCUGAGUCUUCAGGGUAGCCAAAUACUACAUGGUGCUGCAAGAUGCACCGCAGAGGUGUUGAUCUCUGCUAGCUUUGAAAUGAGAGGCUGCUCUAGCUGCCAGUCCACUGUACUUGUGGGUCUCUACCAGCAGAGGGUGGCUGUAAGACCAUUUAUACAUUGCAUUAAACAAUUUACAGGCUGAAUAUUGAGCAUGGUGGCCUUAGUGCUUCCUUUAUUUCCUAAUCCUCCAUUUAUCUUCAGUUAGUAAUUAUAAGAAAUUAAGCAUUUAAUAGAUUUUCAUUUGAGGUUUUCCUCUCUGUUUAUUUUAUUUUGUCGUUAUUCUUCCAGAUGAGAAUAACCAAACAUAAUUAAAUUUACAAAAUCAGGUUUGGGAUAAUGUUACUAUUGAUUGGGAACUAUUUCAGUCUGGGACCUAAGUAUUUGAAAAAUAACUUUGUGAAAAGCUGUCAGUGUUCUAGCAUUUAUUAGGGAUUGAAACUUAAGACACUGAUAGUGAAUGGAAUUCAUCUUGCUGAACUUCAGAGACCUAACAGGUGCCCAUUCUGUGCUUAGGCUUUCCUUAGACUCUGUGGAGAGGACUGCACACAUCCCAAGGCUGAUUUCAGUACCCCUUAUCCUAAUGUAGGUAUCUAAGGUUACAGAACACAAGCUAGCAGGAGCCUGAUCCCAAACUCAUUCAGAGUCCCACUGUGUGUGACAGUUAAUUGUGUAACUGUUAUGCAGGAAGGGGCUCAAUUCUCAUGCUUGUGUUUCAGGGAGACUAAUUUAUCUCUUGAGAUGUCUGUUCCUUUCUGUUGACUACAGAGGGUGCAGAGGUUAGGCUAGCUCAGAGUUAAACCUGCACAUCUAACUAAGACACAUCUUACCCACUGUAUCUACAGGGUGGUGUUACUAUUAUUCGGUAAUACUCUGCAUCCUCUUUAGAGGUCUGUAGACACUUAACAGAUUUUAUGGAUCUGAUUUCACAUCCAGUGGCAUAAAGUAUGACAGUUACUUGCGUAAUUAGUAGAUAGUCAUUAACUUUUCUGAAAUCAGUGGAAUUCCACAUGGGAGCAAUUGCACAAGAUAAGUAGUUCAGGCUGUUGUUGACUGCAGAUCUGUUAGGGAGCUGUUCAUAAUAAAAGGUAGUAGUAAGUGAUGAUGGCAAAUUUAUCAUGUUCUAAUAUAUAGUGAUAUAUAUUCUGUGCUAGAUGUUCUGUUGAGAAUUUGCCUACACAUAUUUAAGUAGUUUUAAAGGUUUGAACGAGUCAAAAAUUCCUGUCUUUAAUUUCAGUUUAUUUACCACUCUGAACCUGUUUUCAAAACUGAAUUCCUAUCUGAAGUUCUUUAAUUUUGAAAAACCUGAGUACCAGCAGCCUUCAUUUUUAACUAUUUCAGAAGUAUAGCACAGAUGAGGCUUUGGUACUUCUAGAGUAGGUAACAUUCCUCUCUGCAGAAAUAGAGCAACCUAGUGACCAAUUCAAGCAAAAGACUGAAGAGGCAUCUUCCAUAAUGGCUACAAACAGCAGAUAAACUCUGGCUUUCCCUUCCACAAAACAGGCAAUACUAAACACACACAUGAGUAGGAUUGGCAUCCUCCUCUUCUGCAGGGAUCAAGCCUUUUGAACCAGUUUCCAAAACUGUAUUCACGGUGCAAGAAUGGUGUUUGAUGUAUUUGAACACAGAGAAAUGUCAUGGGAAUGAUAAAAGGAUUAGAGGAAUAGGGUCAGGAGGAUAAGACAAGGUUAUUGUAGAUACAGGAGUGUAUUCAUGACACCAGCAUAUGCUGUACCUCUUCCAGAGCAGUCUCCAGUCUCCACCGGACUGCAUAGAGCUUUCUGCAAGAUUUAAGUGUGUCUAGCAAUUGCGUUCUGCUCGAGGUUAAUAUGGAAAAUUUUGUGUGUGAUUCCUUGUUGUAAUGACCUGUUAGUGUACAUAUGGGCUUUCCAGUUAUGGAAAUGACCCAUGAUUUAUGAAAUAGCCUCUUCCUGUUUGCAGUGAUGCAGUGACAAUAUUGAGUCAUCUCUAACCCUUUAGCCUUCCCUGUACAGGCUCCUUGUUGUUUGCUGCCUGUCCCCUAGGAUUUGGAUUGAUGAUAGUGGACAACAGGUUUUACUUGAACUAGUCUCAGUUUUAUCAGUUUUGGAUUAAUUACUGCCUUUUCCUAGGGAGAAGGUUUGAGCUACAUUACUGUUAAUCUGAAUUCUAAAUUGCUUAAAAAAUGAGCUGUGUGUAGUUUGGGUUAAAUUAAUGAAUUCUUGAUUUUUGGAUUAACUACUUGCAUUCACUGCAAUCUCUAGGUUUUGAUUCCCUAAAGCGAGGUUAAAUUAUGUUAGCGAUUUAGACCUUAACCUUUUCAUGGAGGAGGCAAAUUCUGGUUUGCUUUUGUUUUUCAGUAUGAUGACCAUCUAUACAGAGAGGUUAAUUGUGGGAAGAUCAUGCUCUAAUACCAUCUUGAUAAGAAUGGUUUUUUUGCUUUGUUAAAUGGAGCCAAGCAAGCUAUAAAGAAUGUCCUAAAACCAUAUUUCAGGUCUGUAGUUAUCAAGACCAAUUUCAUUCACAUCUGUGGUAUUGUAUUCAUUGAUGCCUUUACUCUUACAAUCCAGUUCAACUCUUAACAGAGUUUUGGUUCUAUCUGCUAAAAUGAAGACUUCUAUUUCUUUGUGUAGUAACAAAACCCUGCCAUCCAAAAGUCUACUUGCCUAUGAAAACCUGCCUCAAUGGAUCACAGUCCCUUAUAAAGAUCUCUUCUGCCAUCUGUACAAACCCUCAUGGUUUUGUAGGACUUGCAGUGAUUUGUUUGUAUGCCUUAACUCUAUGCCUUGAGUGAGUCAUGGCAAUAAAUACUCCUGUCUCCAGCUUCUUACAGGGAGCUUCCCACCUGGCAUAUUGACUUGAAGUGGUUUCUUCCCCAAGAAGAACACUGUUUUGUGUGGCAUGCCAAGGCACCUAACUCCCUUCCCAUAGCUUAAUAAGACCAGGGGCCCAAGAAGUUCUGGUUUCAGCUGGAAGGCAGAUACUGCAGUACUCCACCAGAUUGUAUUUCACUGCCUUUGGGAGUGAGCCCCUAAUGCUAAAUCUCAGCAGUAUGACAUCUGACCCUUCAAGGGCUGAAAUGUCUGAAAACAGAACAUAAGUUCUUCCAUCAGGUUCUUACAGUUGGAUCCUUUCUCUACAUACUAUAGCAGGGGCUUAGGUAAAGCAGGUUGGAUGCUCUUUCUUAUUCAGGGUGGCUUAGUUUAACUUUGAAAACAUUGUCUGGCUAAAGAGCUGCAUAUUCAGCAGCUACACAGUGAUGGGUGUGCUGACAAAUAGCUGGAAACCACAGAGCUAUGUUGUUGUUAAUUCCUUUCUGCCAGUGAGACAUUCCUGUUCAUCUCUUGGACAGUAUCAUAAGUCACUUAUUGGUCUUGCCUGUCACUGGAUCCAGAUGAUACAGUGUGAACUCAUGUGUAAUCUGUGUGCCAGUUGUAGAGCCAUUGUGUCUUCCUAGAACCAAGUCUUUUUUAGAUAAUAUCCCAGAGAGAAAGAGAAAAGAAGAUAGAACAAGCUAAAUUACAUCAGUGAGGUAAAAGAGCCAACAGUUUUCCAGAUUUGAAAUGCAGUGCCUUUGGAUAUUGACAAUUUGCAGGUGCUUCAUCAAGGCACAGAAUUUUGCAAAAUCUUUGACGAGGAAAAUACAGACGUGACAUGAUGGUUUUUCUUGUGGGACAUUUUAAUUGCUAUGCUCACUGUUCCCAGUGGAAUCUUACUUUCAGCAGGGGUUUGUCAUCACUUACUUGAUUUGGAUGAACUUUUACCAAAAUCAACAAGGAAGGAAUUGACAGGAUGGACUUUAGUAACGGAAAUUGUGACACGUUUGAAGAGAACACAUGCUUGGAGGAGGGGCUAUUUCUGUUUCAAAAAGUAGCUUCUUAUCAGCAGAACACGCUCUGCUCUUUCCUGCAGAUGUCUUGUCUGUGCCUUGCAGCCGUGCUAAAAAGAUAUUUCAUCUUGUGAGAAGGCAAGGGAAAGAGAUUUACUAUAGUAACAACAUCUAUGCACAUGCUAUUUAAACUCCAGUCAUUAUAUUGAGUUGAACUAAGACAAGCAUUAAAACCACCUGGGACUGUAAUGAUUAGAAGUCCUUGCAGUUAUUGCAAGAUCUGUUUUUCUACUGAAUCAAUACGUGCUGCAGCUUCUAUGAUGAAGGAAGUACAUGGAAAUAUCACUCACUGCCUUUCUGUCUACUGGUCAUGAGUGGCUCAGGGCAGACAUGUCAGUCUUUCAAGACAAAUCAACAGUGUAAAACUUGAGUGUAUGAAAAAUGGCGCUUUUUUUAAUACACAAAGGUCAAUUUUAAAGCAGUGGAGAUGCUAAGCAGUACACGGAGAUCUUUCAGAAAUCAAACUGAACACAAGUAGUCAGGAGUCCAAGAACUGACUUAAAGCAGUGAUGAUGCCUUCUGUCCUACUAUUUCUACUCCUCACUCUUCCCUGAGACACUGCAACCACAACUGAUAGCGUACGCUGUCUUCCCAAACCUAAAUAUUCACUCACACAGAAGAACAUGGGAGGUUUUUUAAAAGCCCCUUGAUAACUGGAACAAGAAAACUUAGCUAUGAGUGGAAUGUCCUUUUAUAAAAUGCCAAAUAGCCUUGUGUUUUUUAAGUCAAAAGCUAACAAGAUAAGCUGUGAGCUCUUAUUACUUCUUCUUAUUCCUUCGCAGUAAAAAUCCGCAGUGCUUUAAAAAUGCUGAAAACAUGACAGCGACUGACAAGAAAAAAAGGGAUCUAAGGAGAUACUGUGCUGAAGAAAUUUUAAUUAUUUUUAUAUAUAAAAAAAUGAUACUGAUGUAGGUCUUGUGUUUGCAAUCUCAGCCAGAAUUCAGUGCUAAGUUUUCACAACCGAGACCCUGACACAUGCUGCCUUUCACCCUUAUGAAAGAACACCUAAUUUGGUAAAAUCCCAGACUAAGGAGAGAGGUCCUAAGAAAUUAAACAGCUGCUUGAACUUUUUAAGUUUUUCUCAGUGAAAGCAUGUCUUGUUUUUAGUAUGCAUGCAGUGUGUGUGUGAGGCUGCUUCCAACAUUUUUAUUACUAGAUCCAUGCACUAGUGUAUCCCCAAACAUAUGCUUUGGUUCAAGUUAGGAGUGGGCAUGUGACCACAUUUCCAUUGAAUUGAGUAUCUAUGGUAUGGAGUUCAUAGGAGUUUUGUAACAGCUGGUAGCUGAUCUAACAUAAAGUGACAAUGGCACAGAGAGAGCAGUAGCUGUAAUCACAUUAAGCGUGUCAGUGUGAAAUCAGUGAAACUUUUAGAGAAAUUUUAACUGGCAGCAUGAGUAAAAGCUGGAUCUACACCUUGGAUAGUGGGUUAUGGUAUAUCUGGUCUGAUACUAAGGAUCCUAAUGUUGGAUUUACUUUGUCAUUAAGCCACAGCCAGAGAGGAGGGUGAACUGUAUCUUUUACAAUUGCUAAAAAUGGAAAGCACUCUGUCACGGGUAUGUUCUCAGUGAAAAAAACAGUGCUAUUUGAAAACUGCUGUUGGAGAUGAUUCAACCAUCAUCUACAUGUUAAAUCUUCAAAAUAUUUUGUGUUACUGCAUAGUGAUAACAAAGAACAAUGUGGAACUGCUAACGUAUACUAACAGGGAGAUUUAAAGAAGAUGUGGCACAGGCGUUUUUAUAACUGUACUUUGUUGGGCUGAGCAUGGGUACAGGUCUUGUCUGCUUGGAUCAUGUAACUGGCCUAAGACCAAAAUAUACACUUACUAUUCAACAAGCCACCUAUGCCCAGCAAUGACAGGGUCCUCCAGUGACAUGUUAACUAUGUCAAUAAACUAUUAACUAAAUAGUAGCUGGGUUUUCUGGUUAAAGGAAAACUAGACCUUCAUUAAAUUCCAUGAUAAGGGUAAAAGAAAGAAUUACUUCUUUCAUUCUGUAAUCUGGUUAUCUGCUGUGUUAACUUGGUCACUGGAUAAUUUGAAUGUGCUAAUCUAUUGACUUAACUGAAAUUGCAGCCUAAAUCAUAUAAAAUGUAGAACAUUGCUUUGGUUUUAAUCAGUUUGGUGAAACUGUAAGUAAAUUAGGUAAGUAAUGUGCUUUGUGAGAUUCAUGUUUGUGCACUCUCCCUUUUUAUGCCACCUGUGCAUGGGACACAAAAUGCGUUCACUUCAUUAGACUACAACCUGGGUCACAAACUGAAGGCAUACAGAAGCUCUGGUGUGAAAUCACCAGCCUCUUGUGUCUGUUUCCAAAGCAACUACCUACAUCCCUUACAUUACGCGGGCUGUAACAUCCCUGAUACAAAACCCCAUGAUAGUUAUCUAUCUAGCAAUAAUGUAGCUGUUUAUAAAUACGCUUACGUGCUAGGGAUUUGCUUCUGUGCCUUCCGUCACCUGCGUAAGGCGACACAAGACACACAAUUGCCAGAAAUAUUCACCUGUAAUGAACACUUACCUGGAUACCCAGCAGGCUGGAAACAAGACAAAGUAGGCAAUUGCAUGGAGCAUCUAACUGACUGCUGCAGGGCAAAGGAGCCACAGCUAUUGGGCCUACUCUACCAGGCUGCAGGGGUAGUACCUGUUCUGCUCAGUUUUCUAUGCAUCCUGUUCCCUGGAACAUGAUAUGUAAUAAAACAUGCGGGGUGGUGUUUGGCACCAGGGAGGAAGGCUGCCUCUGUCUUGUUUGGAUACCGCAGCCAUGGCUGGACCCAUGGAAGGGGACGACAUACUUUCUUUGGCACAGCUAAGCACAAUGAGUGGGGUGAACCAUUUUAAAAGCAGGAUGGGACAGAGAAGCAUUUGUAAGAAAGGACCUGUCCCACAAGGAGUUAAUUUAGAAACUUUCUGUUCUGCCUCACUUGAAAUGUUCUCUAUUUUUUUAAAAAAGGUAUUCCUUCAUGUUUUAACAAAAUCUGAUUUCUGAAGUUAGGAGCUUUGUGGUUUGGAACAUUUAUUUCAAGGGAAGACUGAAGGUAGGUCCACCUCAAACAUCUGCUGACUCUACCAUAGUGCUAAUAUCAUUAUAUAUGUUUAUUACCUCCAAAAUUAGGACAUGCCUGCCUUUAGGUGUCUUGCAGGAUUAUAAUGUGAAUUCCUUAGUUAAUUGCUGAAAAUGUUGUUCCCCCACCCUAUGCUUAGUGUAUUGAUUUGCAAACUUAAACGGCAAGAGUAAAUUGCAGAACAUAGUGACUUGAAUUUAAACCCUUUGUUAAACUUUGGCCUGAAAGCAUCAAGUUGCUCUCCUGAUCAUUCACAUUUACACAAGGUGAGUACAGAGGUAAAGCGCAAUAAAAGGGCAAGGCAAAGGAGAAAGCUCUGCUGAGGUGCUGUAUGAGUCUAACUUGUUGGGCUAUAUUAAUCAGUCUGAUUUUUGCCCUUUUAAAUGCUCAUCCUUUUGCAAAGCUUUCAGCAUGGGGCCCUUUAUGACAAAUGCAGAGCUUGAACAAAGCAUAUUUCUGUCCUCCUACUUAUUUAUGUGUUAAUGUGUAAUUUUUUUCAGUAUUUCACAUAGUGUAACAAAUAGUUACAUGUGUACUUCCUUAUUCCUGUGAUGGAAGCAACGAGGGGGAAAAGGACAAAAGGAGAAGUCAGAAUUUCUGCUGACAGGAAGAAAAAGCAGAUAAGAAUCUAAAAAGAUUUUAUAUGAGCAACCUACUAAUGCAGCUGCUUACUGCUGAGUUCUGCUCAUCAGUAUGCAUAUAUUCUGGUUAUCUGCUGUGUUAACUUAGUGACUGGAUAAUUUGAAUCUGCUAAUUUAUUGACUUAACUGAAAUAGCAGCCUAAAUCAUAUAAAAUAUAAAGCAUAUCAUAUAUAUAUAUAUAUAUAUAUAUAUAUAUAUGGAUUAUUGAGGAUUGGUUUUACUAUGGGGCUAGAUUCUGGCUCCUUUCACAACAAUGAAGUGGUUAAUUAGGCAUAGAAAUACAUUCCCUUCACCCUUUGUCUAAAUGCCAAGCUACCCAAACAUGGUAUUACCUCAUAUAAACCCAACUUGAAGCAAGAACUGAUCAUUACCAGGCUAGUAACCUGUCCUAAUCCCCACCUCACUUGGCACAUUCUCCAAUUGGUGAUUCUCACAGUAUAUCCCAAUUUACCAGCUGCCCCCAGUGUAAAGAGGACAGUUUGUUAGUUCAUUACAGAUUGUUUAUGAUUGCCAAUAUUUACUGUAAGUACUUCUUGGACAAGCGCAGUGCUGUGAACAGACGGGUAUUGGGCAGCUGUAUGUUCCUACAGCAUGCAGAUAAACUGUAGUUGGGGUUUUCCCUGCUAGCAACUCAAGCAAAUGGAUUGUAAAAGCACUUGGGAAUUAACCCAGGACUUUUACGAUGGUCUUGAAGAAGAACAUUUUGAGUACUUCUCUAAACAUCCCUGCUUAGGCCAGCCAGUGAAUUGUUUUUCUGUGCUGUCUGUGAAGUCCUUAAGAAGGUUACACUUCAGUUUGGCAUUACUGGGGGCUCAGCUGGAAAGGCGAGGGCUUUAGGCACCACCAGUAUGUAAAGAAGUCAUUGUGCUUUUAUCACUUUGUCUUGCAGCCUUGGAGAACGGGCUGACAGGCACAGAUCUGCUACAGGCCCCUGCGUUCAAGACCAUAUCCUCUGUCCCCUCCACAUCCCUCACAUCAACGUGCCACUGUUGCACUGAUGUGAUGAGCAGGGUGGGCUCAGGCCACGGAUGAAAGAAGUGCCUGGUUCACCUGGCCCUUGUGCAGGAGCCCUCAGGUAGGGUCUGCGGAGUGGCGGGGGGAAUACUUUCAAGAGCAGCAUAAAAGGUGUAUGAUCAUGUCCUUCUGCUUAUUCUGCCCCUGUAUAAGAAGAAGCUGUGUGUUGUAUGCUUAAUAUUAAAUGGACUAGACAGGUCACUUGGUUUCUCUUUAAUUCUUUUAAUCUUCUUCUUACAAGGUACAAAAUAGGCUUAAGUCAAAAACUAUUUCUUAAUGUAAAGGCUUGAGGGGGGCGGUUGCUCACUUGGCUGUUUUGCU